GGUUAAGCGACUAAGCGUACACGGUGGAUGCCCUGGCAGUCAGAGGCGAUGAAGGACGUGCUAAUCUGCGAUAAGCGUCGGUAAGGUGAUAUGAACCGUUAUAACCGGCGAUUUCCGAAUGGGGAAACCCAGUGUGAUUCGUCACACUAUCAUUAACUGAAUCCAUAGGUUAAUGAGGCGAACCGGGGGAACUGAAACAUCUAAGUACCCCGAGGAAAAGAAAUCAACCGAGAUUCCCCCAGUAGCGGCGAGCGAACGGGGAGCAGCCCAGAGCCUGAAUCAGUGUGUGUGUUAGUGGAAGCGUCUGGAAAGGCGCGCGAUACAGGGUGACAGCCCCGUACACAAAAAUGCACAUGCUGUGAGCUCGAUGAGUAGGGCGGGACACGUGGUAUCCUGUCUGAAUAUGGGGGGACCAUCCUCCAAGGCUAAAUACUCCUGACUGACCGAUAGUGAACCAGUACCGUGAGGGAAAGGCGAAAAGAACCCCGGCGAGGGGAGUGAAAAAGAACCUGAAACCGUGUACGUACAAGCAGUGGGAGCCUCUUAAUGGGGUGACUGCGUACCUUUUGUAUAAUGGGUCAGCGACUUAUAUUCUGUAGCAAGGUUAACCGAAUAGGGGAGCCGAAGGGAAACCGAGUCUUAACUGGGCGUUAAGUUGCAGGGUAUAGACCCGAAACCCGGUGAUCUAGCCAUGGGCAGGUUGAAGGUUGGGUAACACUAACUGGAGGACCGAACCGACUAAUGUUGAAAAAUUAGCGGAUGACUUGUGGCUGGGGGUGAAAGGCCAAUCAAACCGGGAGAUAGCUGGUUCUCCCCGAAAGCUAUUUAGGUAGCGCCUCGUGAAUUCAUCUCCGGGGGUAGAGCACUGUUUCGGCAAGGGGGUCAUCCCGACUUACCAACCCGAUGCAAACUGCGAAUACCGGAGAAUGUUAUCACGGGAGACACACGGCGGGUGCUAACGUCCGUCGUGAAGAGGGAAACAACCCAGACCGCCAGCUAAGGUCCCAAAGUCAUGGUUAAGUGGGAAACGAUGUGGGAAGGCCCAGACAGCCAGGAUGUUGGCUUAGAAGCAGCCAUCAUUUAAAGAAAGCGUAAUAGCUCACUGGUCGAGUCGGCCUGCGCGGAAGAUGUAACGGGGCUAAACCAUGCACCGAAGCUGCGGCAGCGACGCUUAUGCGUUGUUGGGUAGGGGAGCGUUCUGUAAGCCUGCGAAGGUGUACUGUGAGGUAUGCUGGAGGUAUCAGAAGUGCGAAUGCUGACAUAAGUAACGAUAAAGCGGGUGAAAAGCCCGCUCGCCGGAAGACCAAGGGUUCCUGUCCAACGUUAAUCGGGGCAGGGUGAGUCGACCCCUAAGGCGAGGCCGAAAGGCGUAGUCGAUGGGAAACAGGUUAAUAUUCCUGUACUUGGUGUUACUGCGAAGGGGGGACGGAGAAGGCUAUGUUGGCCGGGCGACGGUUGUCCCGGUUUAAGCGUGUAGGCUGGUUUUCCAGGCAAAUCCGGAAAAUCAAGGCUGAGGCGUGAUGACGAGGCACUACGGUGCUGAAGCAACAAAUGCCCUGCUUCCAGGAAAAGCCUCUAAGCAUCAGGUAACAUCAAAUCGUACCCCAAACCGACACAGGUGGUCAGGUAGAGAAUACCAAGGCGCUUGAGAGAACUCGGGUGAAGGAACUAGGCAAAAUGGUGCCGUAACUUCGGGAGAAGGCACGCUGAUACGUAGGUGAAGUCCCUUGCGGAUGGAGCUGAAAUCAGUCGAAGAUACCAGCUGGCUGCAACUGUUUAUUAAAAACACAGCACUGUGCAAACACGAAAGUGGACGUAUACGGUGUGACGCCUGCCCGGUGCCGGAAGGUUAAUUGAUGGGGUUAGCGGUAACGCGAAGCUCUUGAUCGAAGCCCCGGUAAACGGCGGCCGUAACUAUAACGGUCCUAAGGUAGCGAAAUUCCUUGUCGGGUAAGUUCCGACCUGCACGAAUGGCGUAAUGAUGGCCAGGCUGUCUCCACCCGAGACUCAGUGAAAUUGAACUCGCUGUGAAGAUGCAGUGUACCCGCGGCAAGACGGAAAGACCCCGUGAACCUUUACUAUAGCUUGACACUGAACAUUGAGCCUUGAUGUGUAGGAUAGGUGGGAGGCUUUGAAGUGUGGACGCCAGUCUGCAUGGAGCCGACCUUGAAAUACCACCCUUUAAUGUUUGAUGUUCUAACGUUGGCCCCUAAUCGGGGUUGCGGACAGUGUCUGGUGGGUAGUUUGACUGGGGCGGUCUCCUCCUAAAGAGUAACGGAGGAGCACGAAGGUUGGCUAAUCCUGGUCGGACAUCAGGAGGUUAGUGCAAUGGCAUAAGCCAGCUUGACUGCGAGCGUGACGGCGCGAGCAGGUGCGAAAGCAGGUCAUAGUGAUCCGGUGGUUCUGAAUGGAAGGGCCAUCGCUCAACGGAUAAAAGGUACUCCGGGGAUAACAGGCUGAUACCGCCCAAGAGUUCAUAUCGACGGCGGUGUUUGGCACCUCGAUGUCGGCUCAUCACAUCCUGGGGCUGAAGUAGGUCCCAAGGGUAUGGCUGUUCGCCAUUUAAAGUGGUACGCGAGCUGGGUUUAGAACGUCGUGAGACAGUUCGGUCCCUAUCUGCCGUGGGCGCUGGAGAACUGAGGGGGGCUGCUCCUAGUACGAGAGGACCGGAGUGGACGCAUCACUGGUGUUCGGGUUGUCAUGCCAAUGGCACUGCCCGGUAGCUAAAUGCGGAAGAGAUAAGUGCUGAAAGCAUCUAAGCACGAAACUUGCCCCGAGAUGAGUUCUCCCUGACUCCCUGAGAGUCCUGAAGGAACGUUGAAGACGACGACGUUGAUAGGCCGGGUGUGUAAGCGCAGCGAUGCGUUGAGCUAACCGGUACUAAUGAACCGUGAGGCUUAACCUU
rnacentral:rRNA from 1 species